AGGACGACGCUGGCGGCGUGCCUAAUACAUGCAAGUCGAACGGUCUUUCUAUGGAAGCUUGCUUCCACUGAGAAGAUAGUGGCGAACGGGUGAGUAACACGUGGGUAACCUGCCCAUAAGAGGGGGGAUAACAUCCGGAAACGGGUGCUAAUACCGCAUAGUUUUCUUGAUCGCAUGAUUGAGAAAGGAAAGACGGCCUUUGUGCUGUCGCUUAUGGAUGGACCCGCGGCGUAUUAGUUAGUUGGUGAGGUAACGGCUCACCAAGACGAUGAUACGUAGCCGACCUGAGAGGGUGAUCGGCCACAUUGGGACUGAGACACGGCCCAAACUCCUACGGGAGGCAGCAGUAGGGAAUCUUCCGCAAUGGACGAAAGUCUGACGGGGCAACGCCGCGUGAGUGAAAGAAGGUUUUCGGAUCGUAAAACUCUGUUGUCAGAGAAGAACAAGUUGGAGAGUAACUGCUCCAGCCUUGACGGUAUCUGACCAGAAAGCCACGGCUAACUACGUGCCAGCCGCCGC
rnacentral:rRNA from 1 species